AGAUUCUUCCUCACCCCUACUGUAUUUUCCAGACUUCUGCUUUCUUCUAAGAUAAAUACAGCUGAGUAACACUGAGUUCCACAUCCUCUGAGAAGUCUCACCGGCUUGAACAUAAACUUUGCUCUUGGGAACUGUUGGCUACAUGUAAGCAAUGGGAGGUGUGAAAGGAGAUGCCACUCUGCUCAAGUACAGCAGGGGUUGGCACAGUACUGACCUGGCUACAUGAAGGCUUGAGCCUUUGUGGAUUCACGCAAGAAAAGUCAUGCGAAAUUCAGC